rnacentral:rRNA from 1 species
GACGAACGCUGGCGGCGUGCUUAACACAUGCAAGUCGAACGGAAAGGCCCUGCUUUUGUGGGGUGCUCGAGUGGCGAACGGGUGAGUAACACGUGAGUAACCUGCCCUUUACUUUGGGAUAACUUCAGGAAACUGGGGCUAAUACCUGAUAGGAGCUCCUGCUGCAUGGUGGGGGUUGGAAAGUUUCGUCGGUUGGGGAUGGACUCGCGGCUUAUCAGCUUGUUGGUGGGGUAGUGGCUUACCAAGGCUUUGACGGGUAGCCGGCCUGAGAGGGUGACCGGCCACAUUGGGACUGAGAUACGGCCCAGACUCCUACGGGAGGCAGCAGUGGGGAAUAGUGCACAAUGGGCGGAAGCCUGAUGCAGCAACGCCGCGUGCGGGAUGACGGCCUUCGGGUUGUAAACCGCUUUCGCCUGUGACGAAGCGUGAGUGACGGUAAUGGGUAAAGAAGCACCGGCUAACUACGU